GUACUUUGCAUAUGAUGAAGAGUGUUGGUAGGGACAUCUGAUUUUGAUGAAGAAAUGCCAACCUCUCGAAGUGG